rnacentral:rRNA from 1 species
UACGUAGGGGUCGAGCGUUUGUCCGGAUUUAUUGGGCGUAAAGAGCGUGUAGGCGGCCAGGUAGGUCUGCUGUGAAAACUCGAGGCUCAACCUCGAGACGUCGGCGGAAACCAUCUGGCUAGAGUCCGGAAGAGGAGAGUGGAAUUCCUGGUGUAGCGGUGAAAUGCGCAGAUAUCAGGAGGAACACCGAUGGCGAAGGCAGGUCUCUGGGCCACUACUGACGCUGAGAAGCGAAAGCGUGGGGAGCGAACAGG